CUACGUAGGGGGCGAGCGUUGUCCGGAAUUACUGGGCGUAAAGGGUGCGUAGGUGGCACUUUAAGUUGGAUGUGAAAUCCCCGUGCUUAACAUGGGAGCUGCAUCCAAUACUGGAGAGCUAGAGUGCAGGAGAGGUAAGCGGAAUUCCUAGUGUAGCGGUGAAAUGCGUAGAUAUUAGGAGGAACACCAGUGGCGAAGGCGGCUUACUGGACUGUAACUGACACUGAGGCACGAAAGCGUGGGGAGCAAACAGGAUUAGAUACCCUGGUAGUCCACGCUGUAAACGAUGAAUACUAGGUGUAGGGGGUAUCAACUCCCUCUGUGCCGCAGCAAACGCAAUAAGUAUUCCGCCUGGGGAGUACGGCCGCAAGGUUGAAACUCAAAUGAAUUGACGGGG
rnacentral:rRNA from 1 species